CCUCGGAUCAGGUAGG
rnacentral:rRNA from 2 species